UACGAAGGGGGGCUAGCGUUGCUCGGAAUGACUGGGCGUAAAGGGCGCGUAGGCGGAUGGUACAGUCAGAUGUGAAAUUCCCGGGCUUAACCUGGGGGGCUGCAUUUGAUACGUAUUGUCUUGAGUUCGGAAGAGGGUCGUGGAAUUUCCAGUGUAGAGGUGAAAUUCGUAGAUAUUGGAAAGAACACCGGUGGCGAAGGCGGCGACCUGGUCCGACACUGACGCUGAGGCGCGAAAGCGUGGGGAGCAAACAGG
rnacentral:rRNA from 1 species